rnacentral:rRNA from 1 species
UACGGAGGGUGCAAACGUUGCUCGGAAUCAUUGGGCGUAAAGCGCACGUAGGCGGCCUGUUAAGUCGGGUGUGAAAGCCCUCGGCUCAACCGAGGAAGUGCAUUCGAAACUGGCAGGCUUGAGUAUGGAAGAGGGUCGCGGAAUUCCCGGUGUAGAGGUGAAAUGCGUAGAGAUCCGGAGGAACACCAGAGGCGAAGGCGGCCUACUGGGCUGCACCUGACGCUGAACCGCGAAAGCUAGGGGAGCGAACGGG